rnacentral:rRNA from 1 species
GCCGCGGUAAUACGGAGGGUGCAAGCGUUAAUCGGAAUUACUGGGUGUAAAGCGCACGCAGGCGGUUUGCUAAGUCAGAUGUGAAAUCCCCGGGCUCAACGUGGGAAAUGCAUCUGAUAGUGGCAAGCUUGACUAUCGUAGAGGGGGCUAGAAUUCCAGGUGUAGCGGUGAAAUGCGUAGAGAUCUCGAGGAAUACCGGUGGCGAAGCCGGCCCCCUGGACGAAGACUGACGCUCAGGUGCGAAACCCUGUGGAGCAAACC